UACGGAGGAUGCAAGCGUUAUCCGGAAUGAUUGGGCGUAAAGCGUCCGCAGGUGGCUAUGUAAGUCUGCCGUUAAAGAGUGAGGCUCAACCUCAUAAGAGCAGUGGAAACUACAUGGCUAGAGUGCGUUCGGGGCAGAGGGAAUUCCUGGUGUAGCGGUGAAAUGCGUAGAGAUCAGGAAGAACACCGGUGGCGAAAGCGCUCUGCUAGGCCGCAACUGACACUGAGGGACGAAAGCUAGGGGAGCGAAUGGG
rnacentral:rRNA from 1 species